rnacentral:rRNA from 1 species
CGAAGGAUGCAAGCGUUAUCCGGAUUCAUUGGGUUUAAAGGGUGCGUAGGCGGACUGAUAAGUCAGUGGUGAAAUCUCUCAGCUUAACUGAGAAACUGCCAUUGAUUCUGUUAGUCUAGAGUAUAGAUGACGUUGGCGGAAUAUGACAUGUAGUGGUGAAAUACUUAGAUAUGUCAUAGAACACCGAUUGCGAAGGCAGCUAACGAAACUAUAACUGACGCUGAGGCACGAAAGUGCGGGGAUCAAACAGGAUUAGAUACCCUGGUAGUCCGCACCAUAAACGAUGAUUACUCGUUGUUGGCGAUAUGACAGUCAGCGACCAAGCGAAAGCGAUAAGUAAUCCACCUGGGGAGUACGCCGGCAACGGUG